CUGGCCAUGGCCUAAUGGUAAGGCACUUGACUACGGUGUAUGCAAUACGCUUGCCAUCAAGGGAUUGGAGGUUCGAGUCCUUCUGGCCAGG
rnacentral:tRNA from 2 species